AUACUUACCUGGCAAGGGAGAUACCGUGAUCAAGAGGGCGGGUCACCCAGGGCGAGGCUCAGCCAUUGCACUUCGGCUGUGCUGACCCCUGCAAAUUUCCCAAAGAUUGCCUAGUUUCUGGUAGUGGGGGACUGCAUUUGCGCUCUCCCCCA
ensembl:snRNA U1 U1 spliceosomal RNA